AUGACAGAAAAUCCAAAAGUGUU
rnacentral:siRNA from 1 species